rnacentral:rRNA from 1 species
AUUGAACGCUGGCGGCAGGCCUAACACAUGCAAGUCGAGCGGCAGCGGGAAAGUAGCUUGCUACUUUUGCCGGCGAGCGGCGGACGGGUGAGUAAUGCCUGGGAAAUUGCCCAGUCGAGGGGGAUAACAGUUGGAAACGACUGCUAAUACCGCAUACGCCCUACGGGGGAAAGCAGGGGACCUUCGGGCCUUGCGCGAUUGGAUAUGCCCAGGUGGGAUUAGCUAGUUGGUGAGGUAAUGGCUCACCAAGGCGACGAUCCCUAGCUGGUCUGAGAGGAUGAUCAGCCGCACUGGAGCUGAGACACGGUCCAGACUCCUACGGGAGGCAGCAGGGGGGAAUAUUGCACAAUGGGGGAAACCCUGAUGCAGCCAUGCCGCGUGUGUGAAGAAGGCCUUCGGGUUGUAAAGCACUUUCAGCGAGGAGGAAAGGUCAGUAGCUAAUACCUGCUGGCUGUGACGUUACUCGCAGAAGAAGCACCGGCUAACUCCGUGCCAGCCGCCGCGGUAAAAC